CAGGAUUACAAUAUGUAGAGGACUGAUAGGUAACGUAUACCGGACCUUAGAAUGGCCGGACUAACGUACCAAAGAAUAGUCAGGAAUAGCCGAAGAGACACAACGAUAAGGAAAAGCCAGUGGUCAGGGAUGCCAGAAAACAGGGAAGUCAAAAACAAUGCCAAAGUCAAAUAACCAGAAUAACCAGAAUCAAUAACGAUCUCUC